rnacentral:rRNA from 1 species
GAUGAACGCUGGCUACAGGCUUAACACAUGCAAGUCGUGGGGAAACGGCAUUAUGUGCUUGCACAUUCUGGACGUCGACCGGCGCACGGGUGAGUAUCGCGUAUCCAACCUGCCCCUUACUUGGGGAUACCCCGUUGAAAGACGGCCUAAUACCCGAUGUGUUUCAUUGACGGCAUCCGAUAUGAAACAAAGGUUUUCCGGUAAGGGAUGGGGAUGCGUCUGAUUAGCUUGUUGGCGGGGCAACGGCCCACCAAGGCGACGAUCAGUAAGGGUUCUGAGAGGAAGGUCCCCCACAUUGGAACUGAGACACGGUCCAAACUCCUACGGGAGGCAGCAGUGAGGAAUAUUGGUCAAUGGACGCAAGUCUGAACCAGCCAAGUAGCGUGCAGGAUGACGGCCCUAUGGGUUGUAAACUGCUUUUAUGUGGGAAUAAAGUGGCGCACGUGUGCGCCAUUGCAUGCACCUCAUGAAUAAGGACCGGCUAAUUCCGUGCCAGCAGCCGCGGUAAUACGGAAGGUCCGGGCGUUAUCCGGAUUUAUUGGGUUUAAAGGGAGUGUAGGCGGUCUGUUAAGCGUGUUGUGAAAUUUAGGUGCUCAACAUUUAACUUGCAGCGCGAACUGUCAGACUUGAGUACACGCAGCGCAGGCGGAAUUCAUGGUGUAGCGGUGAAAUGCUUAGAUAUCAUGAGGAACUCCGAUCGCGAAGGCAGCCUGCGGGAGUGUUACUGACGCUUAAGCUCGAAGGUGCGGGUAUCGAACAGG